rnacentral:rRNA from 1 species
GAUUAACGCUAGCGGCAGGCAUAAUACAUGCAAGUUGAACGGGAUAAGUUUAGCAAUAAACUUUGAGAGUGGCGCACGGGUGCGUAACACGUAUGCAACCUACCCGAUACAGGGGGAUAGCCUCUCGAAAGAGAGAUUAAUACCCCAUAACAUAGAGUAUAGGCAUCUAUAUUUUAUCAAAGUUCCGACGGUAUCGGAUGGGCAUGCGGUUGAUUAGCUAGUUGGUGAGGUAACGGCUCACCAAGGCGACGAUCAAUAGGGGGUCUGAGAGGAUGUCCCCCCACACUGGUACUGAGACACGGACCAGACUCCUACGGGAGGCAGCAGUAGGGAAUAUUGGUCAAUGGGGGCAACCCUGAACCAGCCAUGCCGCGUGCAGGAAGACUGCCCUAUGGGUUGUAAACUGCUUUUGUACGGGAAGAAAUGUCACUAUGCGUAGUGAUUUGACGGUACCGUAAGAAUAAGGAUCGGCUAACUUCGUGCCAGCAGCCGCCGUAACAC